GACGUAGGGCGCAAGCGUUGUCCGGAAUCAUUGGGCGUAAAGGGCUCGUAGGCGGUUUGUCGCGUCGGGAGUGAAAACCAUGGGCUUAACUCAUGGCUUGCUUCCGAUACGGGCAGACUAGAGGCAUGCAGGGGAGAACGGAAUUCCUGGUGUAGCGGUGAAAUGCGCAGAUAUCAGGAGGAACACCGGUGGCGAAGGCGGGUCUCUGGGCCGUAACUGACGCUGAGGAGCGAAAGCAUGGGGAGCGAACAGG
rnacentral:rRNA from 1 species